AGUGAACGCUGGCGGCAUGCCUUACACAUGCAAGUCGAACGGCAGCGGGCCUUCGGGUGCCGGCGAGUGGCGAACGGGUGAGUAAUGCAUCGGAACGUGCCAUUGAGUGGGGGAUAACGUAGCGAAAGUUACGCUAAUACCGCAUAUUCUGUGAGCAGGAAAGCAGGGGACCGCAAGGCCUUGCGCUCUUUGAGCGGCCGAUGUCAGAUUAGCUAGUUGGUGAGGUAAAGGCUUACCAAGGCGACGAUCUGUAGCGGGUCUGAGAGGAUGAUCCGCCACACUGGAACUGAGACACGGUCCAGACUCCUACGGGAGGCAGCAGUGGGGAAUUUUGGACAAUGGGCGCAAGCCUGAUCCAGCCAUGCCGCGUGAGUGAAGAAGGCCUCGGGUUGUAAGACGUCUUUCGGUCCGGGAGGAAAUCGCAUGGUUAAGUACCUCGUGUGGAGUGACGGUACCGG
rnacentral:rRNA from 1 species